rnacentral:rRNA from 1 species
GAUGAACGUUGGCGGCGUGCCUAAUACAUGCAAGUCGAACGGAAGGUAGCAAUACCUUUAGUGGCGAACGGGUGAGUAACGCGUUGGUGACCUGCCCCCGAAGCGUGGGAUAACAGUCCGAAAGGAUUGCUAAUACCGCAUGUGGUCCAAGAGACUAGAGGCUUAUGGACUAAAGGAGACAUUCACUUCGGGAGGGGCCUGCGUCCCAUCAGCUAGUUGGUAGGGUAACGGCCUACCAAGGCGAUGACGGGUAGGGGACCUGAGAGGGUGGCCCCCCCACAAUGGAACUGAAACACGGUCCAUACACCUACGGGUGGCAGCAGUAGGGAAUAUUGCAAAAUGGGCGCAAGCCCGAUGCAGCAACGCCGCGUGGGCGAUGAAGGCCUUCGGGUCGUAAAGCCCUUUUUGAGGGGAUGAGGAAGGACAGUACCCUCAGAAUAAGCCUCGGCUAACUACGUG